GCGUCAGUAGUGCAACUGGUUAAAACACGCGCUCCCGGAUAGAGUGAAGUGUGGGUUCGAGUCCUGCCUGACGCA